rnacentral:rRNA from 1 species
AAGCGUUUAUGACCAGACGUGGGUGCGGUGAAUCAUCCGGCGUUCUCGCCGGUGCACUUCGCCGCGCCCAGGCCAGCAUCAGUUGGUGCCGGGGGAAAAAUUCAGCGGGAACGUGGCCCCCCUCGGGGGGUGUUAUAGCCCGCCGACUAAUACCCUGGCGCCGACUGAGGUUCGCGCAUCUGCAUGGAUGCUGGCGUAAUGGUCAUCAGCGA